GGACGGACGGCAUACAGUCGUCGUCGCCCGCCGCGCCCAGCCUUCCCGCCAGGCCGCCCGCGACCCGGCUGGCCAAGAAAGUCCAGGGAAGAGACAGAAAAGAAGAACAGAAAAAACAGUGGGAAAAAGAGGCUGGGCUCCUCGAAUCUCUCACCAUCUAUCUCCCGUGGCUUCCUUGUCUGCCUGCCCACGACUUGCCUACGCCUUGCCUUCGGGGUUGGUGAGCGAGCGAGCUCGGGAUCAGUUGGCGACUACACACCCAGAGGUUGUUGUCCGAGAAUUAUUUAGGCCCGCCCCCUUCUUCCUUCCACGCCGCCUCGCCUCCCUUCUCUGCUCCGUCUCCUCGGAUCUCCGCCUCAAAUUUGCCUCCCCAAUCCCCAGUUCCAGGUUCUUGGAGGAGGGGGGAAGCCAUGGGCAGCUUCGCCAAGCUGGCCAAGAGGUGCGUGGAGACGGAGGCGCCGGUCAUGGUGAAGAUACAAGAGCUGCUUCGAGGGGCCACGGAUGUGAUGUCGCUUGCGCAGGGAAUUGUUUAUUGGCAACCUCCUGAGGCAGCCCUGAACAAGGUCAAGGAAAUUGUAUGGGAACCAGCAACCAGUAAAUAUGGUGCUGAUGAUGGCCUUCCCGAGCUUCGAGAAGCACUUCUCGAGAAGCUUCGCAGAGAGAAUAAGCUAACCAAGUCAUCAGUUAUGGUGACCGCUGGUGCAAAUCAGGCUUUUGUAAACCUGGUUCUGACCCUUUGCGAUGCUGGUGAUUCAGUUGUCAUGUUUGCACCAUAUUAUUUCAAUUCCUUCAUGUCAUUCCAGAUGACUGGCGUCACUGAUAUAUUAGUUGGUGCUAGCAAUCCCAAGACUCUUCAUCCUGAUGUUGAUUGGUUAGAGAAGGUGUUGAAAGAAAGUAACCCUAUCCCUAAACUUGUUACUGUUGUUAAUCCGGGAAACCCCUCUGGAGCUUUUAUUCCCAAGCCUAUGCUUCAGAGAAUUUCAGACCUGUGCAGGAAUGCUGGUGCAUGGCUGGUGGUUGACAAUACCUAUGAGUACUUCAUGUAUGAUAAAAUGGAGCACUACUGCCUAGAGGAUGAUCAUAUUGUCAACCUUUUCUCGUUCUCAAAGGCUUAUGGAAUGAUGGGGUGGCGUGUAGGAUACAUUGCAUAUCCAAGUGAAGCCGAUGGUUUCCACGCGCAGCUCCUUAAGGUGCAAGAUAACAUACCAAUCUGUGCUUCCAUCAUCGGGCAGCGCCUGGCUCUAUACUCAUUGGAGGCCGGCCCAGAGUGGAUCAGGGAAAGGGUGAAUGAUCUCGUGAAAAACCGCGAGCUGCUUGUGGAGGCAAUGUCUCCCCUUGGUGAGGAUGCUGUCAAGGGUGGGGAGGGUGCCAUCUACCUCUGGGCUAAGUUACCAGAUAACUGUUCAGACGACUUUGAGGUUGUCAGGUGGCUCGCGACCAAGCACGGCGUCGCAGUGAUCCCCGGGAGCGCCAGCGGAGGCCCCGGAUACAUCCGUGUUUCCUUCGGAGGGCUGAAGGAGGAAGACACGAGGCUCGCCGGCGAGAGGCUAAGGCGGGGAUUGCAAGAGCUGGUGACUGAUGGGAUGGUACAGUAACAACAGCCCACCGUAUGUAAGACAGUAAGAGUACAUUUCUACAUUCAGAUCACACAGGUCCGAUUUUUUCGACGAUACGAUUCUGCUGGGAUUAGUUCAUUCAGAGGAGGAAAAGCACCAUAUAUCCAAGUCUUUGUAUCAUAUAGAUGGCAUGCUGGAGGUACCCAAUGGGAACGGCAAUUGGUGUACUGAGAAUUUGGGCAAAAUAAAAAGCUAUGCAGCCCCUGUUCGGUACUUCCUGCCGUUUAAUUUACCCUUUCCCCCAGCAACUGUACACAAGUGAAAUACGACAAUUAUAAGGUGUUUUUACACGCUUUCCCCGAGUUGUCCGUGUUUCCUGUUCUUGGCUUGGAGUUUCAUCAGGGCCUGGAAACUGAAAACACUGCAGCUUCUAUAGCUGACAGAACUGAUGCUUGGACGGACAAACCGACCAGGUGUUUUCUGAACAUGAACGCCCAUGUUUAGUAACUUGGUCGUUUUGCUGCGCAUGCCUAAGUUCUGCUACCUGCCUAGUUAGUUUUAUUCUUUAUCGAGUUCUGUUUUACUUUAGUUCUUCACAGUUUUUGCUGUUUUCGAAGAAUUUGUUAAAAUC
rnacentral:rRNA from 1 species